CUAAUCCCUUAAAGCCAUUCUCAGUUCGGAUUGUAGGCUGAAACUCGCCUACAUGAAGCUGGAGUUACUAGUAAUCGCAGAUCAGAAUGCUGCGGUGAAUGCGUUCCCGGGUCUUGUACACACCGCCCGUCACACCACGGAAGUUGGGGGCGCCCGAAGCCACUUAGCUAACCCUUUUGGGAAGCGAGUGUCGAAGGUGAAAUCAAUAACUGGGGUGAAGUCGUAACAAGGUAAC
rnacentral:rRNA from 1 species